ensembl:snRNA U6 U6 spliceosomal RNA
AUUCACUUGACUGCAUAUUUAGUACAACUGGAAGACUACACAUAAGGUUAGUGUGGUCCCUGCACAAUGAUGAUACACAAAUUCAAGAUAUAUAAAGAACUGUA